rnacentral:rRNA from 1 species
AACGAACGCUGGCGGCAUGCCUAACACAUGCAAGUCGAACGAGACCUUCGGGUCUAGUGGCGCACGGGUGCGUAACGCGUGGGAACCUGCCCUUAGGUUCGGAAUAACUCCCCGAAAGGGGUGCUAAUACCGGAUAAUGUCUUCGGACCAAAGAUUUAUCGCCUUUGGAUGGGCCCGCGUUGGAUUAGCUAGUUGGUAGGGUAAAAGCCUACCAAGGCGACGAUCCAUAGCUGGUCUGAGAGGAUGAGCAGCCACACUGGGACUGAGACACGGCCCAGACUCCUACGGGAGGCAGCAGUGGGGAAGAUUGGACGAUGGGCGAAAGCCUGAUCCAGCAAUGCCGCGUGAGUGAUGAAGGCCUUAGGGUUGUAAAGCUCGUUUACCCGGGAUGAUAAUGACAGUACCGGGAGAAUAAGCUCCGGCUAACUCCGUG